AUACUCUUCCAGCGGAACAGAUUCUUUUCCCAGAAUCCACAAUGAAUCAACAAGUUUCAAGUGAGAUCGAGACUACUUGAGAUUCUUUCAGAUUCAGUUGUGCACAUAUGGAUGGAUGCCAAUGGAACCAAUGGAAUGUCUCUGCAUAUACAUUCAGUGUGGCUGAGUAAUUGGAAGAAGCAUUAAGGAGACAAUCCUGGUUGUAGCUGGUAAACACACAAGGAAGUUCCAAAGGUCUCAUUAUGGAUGUAGAACCCAGCGUGCUCCAUCCUGGAAGAUCUCAGCAUCGUUUCUAUUUCAUGUCCUGUCUGAGCGGCGCAGGUUUUACAGAAAGGGCAAGUCGUGCAUCCAGUGUGGUGGUGACCAUAAUCUCGAUCCUCAUGCACUGGAGCUCAGGUGGCCUUGUGCUUCCCAUCACACCAGUAACUUCAGGCACACCUUUGGGGCAGUGACCCAGAUACAUAAGGCUGCUGGCUGCCC